GAUUGGCUGCUGCCAACAUACUGACUCAACUCUAUCUAAAGGCCAUCAGACUGUUAAACAGCCAUCACUAACAUUGAUUGGCUGCUGCCAACAUACUGACUCAACUCUAUCUAAAGGCCAUCAGACUGUUAAACAGCCACCACUAACAUUGAUUGGCUGCUGCCAACAUACUGACUCAACUCUAUCUAAAGGCCAUCAGACUGUUAAACAGUCACCACUAACAUUGAGUGGCUGCUGCCAACACACUGACUCUACUCCAGCCACUUUAUAUAAUGUUUACAUACCCUACAUUACUCAUCUCAUAUGUAUAUACUGUACUCUAUACCAUAUACUGCAUCUUUAUGUAAUACAUGUAUCACUAGUCACUUUAAACAAUGCCACUUUAUAUAAUGUUUACAUACCCUACAUUACUCAUCUCAUAUGUAUAUACUGUACUCUAUACCAUCUACUGCAUCUUUAUGUAAUACAUGUAUCACUAGUCACUUUAAACAAUGCCACUUUAUAUAAUGUUUACAUACCCUACAUUACUCAUCUCAUAUGUAUAUACUGUACUCUAUAUCAUCUACUGCAUCUUUAUGUAAUACAUGUAUCACUAGUCACUUUAAACAAUGCCACUUUAUAUAAUGUUUACAUACCCUACAUUACUCAUCUCAUAUGUAUAUACUGUACUCUAUAUCAUCUACUGCAUCUUUAUGUAAUACAUGUAUCACUAGUCACUUUAAACAAUGCCACUUUAUAUAAUGUUUACAUACCCUACAUUACUCAUCUCAUAUGUAUAUACUGUACUCUAUACCAUCUACUGCAUCUUGCCUGUGCCGUUCGGCCAUCACUCAUUCAUAUAUAUUUAUGGACAUUCUGUGAGUGUAAUGGGCACUGUUCACUUUUAUUGUUUAUUUCAGUUUUGUAUAUUAUCUACUUAACUUGCUUUGGUAAUGUUGACAUAUGUUUCCCAUGACAAUAAAGCCCCUUGAAUUGUGAGUGAGUGAGUAAGAGAGCGAGAGAGCGAGAGUGUGAGUGAGUGAGUGAGAGAUGGAGAGAGAGAGAGACUGAAGGAAUCUACAGUCUCAUCGAUAGUCCUAUCCUAUCAGGUGUGAGCCUGCCUCUUAGUGUGUAGCACGGCCACACUACUGCAUAUUCCACCUAUAGGCUCUGCCCUUUCAACUGCCACAUGAGAACGCCCUUCAGACAGCGUCCUGAAUGCAGUCUGUCCAAGGCUACUGUCAGAGAGCCAAAGGUUGUGCAUGACCCUGACAGACCGCUGACAUUGGCUGCCUUUCGUCCUCUCUCUCUCAUUAAUAACACAUGACAGGCUAUUGGCUAGGGAUCCCCAGACACUGACUGGUGUGGCACGCAACUCACUCACUCACUCACACACUC
rnacentral:lncRNA from 1 species